rnacentral:rRNA from 1 species
CGCAAGUCGAACGGAGUAGCAAUACUUAGUGGCAGACGGGUGAGUAACAUGUAGGUAUCUACCCUUUGGCCUGGAAUAACACGAGGAAACUUGUGCUAAUACCGGAUAAGUCUUUACGGAGAAAGCUUUAUGCACCAUUGGAUGAGCCUGCACUUGAUUAGUUUGUUGGUAGGGUAAUGGCCUACCAAGACUGUGAUCAAUAGCUGAUUUGAGAGGAUGAUCAGCCACAUUGGGACUGAGACACGGCCCAAACUCCUACGGGAGGCAGCAGUGGGGAAUCUUGCACAAUGGAGGAAACUCUGAUGCAGCGAUGCCGCGUGAGUGAAGAAGGCCCUUGGGUUGUAAAGCUCUUUCGUCGGGGAAGAAAAUGACUGUACCCGAAUAAGAAGGUCCGGCUAACUUCGUGCCAGCAGCCGCGGUAAUACGAAGGGACCUAGCGUAGUUCGGAAUUACUGGGCUUAAAGAGUUCGUAGGUGGUUGAAAAAAUUGGUGGUGAAAUCCCAGAGCUUAACUCUGGAACUGCCAUCAAAACUUUUCAGCUAGAGUUUGAUAGAGGAAAGCAGAAUUUCUAGUGUAGAGGUGAAAUUCGUAGAUAUUAGAAAGAAUACCAAUUGCGAAGGCAGCUUUCUGGAUCAUUACUGACACUGAGGAACGAAAGCAUGGGUAGCGAAGAGGAUUAGAUACCCUCGUAGUCCAUGCCGUAAACGAUGUGUGUUAGACGUUGGAAAUUUAUUUUCAGUGUCGCAGCGAAAGCGAUAAACACACCGCCUGGGGAGUACGA